AACGAACGCUGGCGGCAUGCCUAACACAUGCGAGUCGAACGAGACCUCCGGGUCUAGUGGCGCACGGGUGCGUACCGCGUGGGAACCUGCCCUUAGGUUCGGAAUAACUCCCUGAAAGGGGUGCUAAUACCGCUUAAUGUCUUCGGACCAAAGAUUUAUCGCCUUUGGAUGGGCCCGCGUUGGAUUAGCUAGUUGGUAGGGUAAAAGCCUACCAAGGCGAUGAUCCAUAGCUGGUCUGAGAGGAUGAUCAGCCACACUGGGACUGAGACACGGCCCAGACUCCGACGGGAGGGAGCAGAGGGGAAUAUUGUACAAGGGGGGAAAGCCUGAUCCAGCAGUGCCGCGUGAGUGAUGAAGGCCGUAGGGUUGUAAAGCUCUUUGACCCGGAAUGAUAAUGACAGUACCGGGAGAAGAAGCACCGGCUAACUCCGUG
rnacentral:rRNA from 1 species